GCGGAGCCACCUCCCAGAAGCGUGUGGGCAGCGAGGCUCGGCCCUCGGCCUCGGAUCAGGCCAGUUCCCGAACGCGCGCAUGCAGAAUCAUUCGUUAUGGCAUGCGAACUCUUAGCUGGAUCUCGUUCCAGGGAUCGAACCCCAGGCCCCCAGCACUGGCAGCAUGGAAUCUGAGCCACUGGACCAGCAGGGAGCCUCCUGCCGGAGCGCCAAGAUGAGCCCAGUGGGAGCCUACCCCAUCUCUCAGCCCCAGCCUGCCAGGAACAGCCCAGCCAGAGCCCAGAGGCGAAGGGAGAGAGCCAGCCUCACCCAGAUCUCCAGGCCCACCCAGCAGGCCGUACCUCUCACUGCUGGAGAGAUCCAGAUGCUGGUGUAAGGGCCUCGGCUCCCUCCCAAGAUGGAAAUCCCGCCUUCUUCCCUGUUUCCGUGCCAACACUGGUAAAAGACUCAAGGCAGCGAACAAGACCUGUGAGGAGCCUGACAGUCACAAGGGACACUCAUCCUGCUCCACGGCAUCCCUGAGGUCCCACAGGAUUCCGUGAAUAAUGAGUAACUCAGCCCCACCCUCCAAAAGCCCAGAGUCUGGGACAGCACGAGGUGUCAGACAGGUGAUCAGCCAGUUACAACAGUGCAGCUCCAAGACUGCGGGGGAGGGCAAGGCAGAUUCC